AUUGAACGCUGGCGGCAUGCUUUACACAUGCAAGUCGAACGGUAACAGGCCGCAAGGUGCUGACGAGUGGCGAACGGGUGAGUAAUGCAUCGGAACGUGCCCAGUCGUGGGGAUAACGCAGCGAAAGCUGCGCUAAUACCGCAUACGAUCUAUGGAUGAAAGCGGGGGACCGUAAGGCCUCGCGCGAUUGGAGCGGCCGAUGUCAGAUUAGGUAGUUGGUGGGGUAAAGGCUCACCAAGCCGACGAUCUGUAGCUGGUCUGAGAGGACGACCAGCCACACUGGGACUGAGACACGGCCCAGACUCCUACGGGAGGCAGCAGUGGGGAAUUUUGGACAAUGGGCGCAAGCCUGAUCCAGCAAUGCCGCGUGCAGGAAGAAGGCCUUCGGGUUGUAAACUGCUUUUGUACGGAGCGAAAAGGCUCUGGUUAAUACCUGGGGCUCAUGACGGUACCGUAAGAAUAAGCACCGGCUAACUACGUGCCAGCAGCCGCAGUAAGAC
rnacentral:rRNA from 1 species